rnacentral:rRNA from 1 species
UACGGAGGGUGCAAGCGUUGUUCGGAAUUAUUGGGCGUAAAGCGCGUGUAGGCGGUUUGUUAAGUCUGGUGUGAAAGCCCUGGGCUCAACCUGGGAAGUGCAUUGGAUACUGGCAAACUUGAGUACGGGAGAGGAUAGUGGAAUUUCGAGUGUAGGGGUGAAAUCCGUAGAUAUUCGAAGGAACACCGGUGGCGAAGGCGGCUAUCUGGACCGAUACUGACGCUGAGGCGCGAAAGCUAGGGGAGCAAACGGG